UACGUAGGUGGCAAGCGUUAUCCGGAAUUAUUGGGCGUAAAGAGCGCGCAGGUGGUUGAUUAAGUCUGAUGUGAAAGCCCACGGCUUAACCGUGGAGGGUCAUUGGAAACUGGUCGACUUGAGUGCAGAAGAGGGAAGUGGAAUUCCAUGUGUAGCGGUGAAAUGCGUAGAUAUCGGGAGGAACACCAGUGGCGAAGGCGGCUUCCUGGCACAAUACUGACGCUCAUGUGCGAAAGCUAGGGCAGCGAACGGGAUUAGAUA
rnacentral:rRNA from 1 species